rnacentral:rRNA from 1 species
UACGUAGGGUGCAAGCGUUAAUCGGAAUUACUGGGCGUAAAGCGUGCGCAGGCGGUUUUGUAAGUCUGACGUGAAAGCCCCGGGCUUAACCUGGGAAUUGCGUUGGAGACUGCAAGGCUUGAAUCUGGCAGAGGGGGGUAGAAUUCCACGUGUAGCAGUGAAAUGCGUAGAGAUGUGGAGGAACACCGAUGGCGAAGGCAGCCCCCUGGGCUAACACUGACGCUCAUGCACGAAAGCGUGGGGAGCAAACAGG